rnacentral:rRNA from 1 species
AUGGGCGUCCACGCGGCGCCCUUCCCCUUCCCCCUUCCCCGCCGGGAGGAGGACGACGCCAUCGUCCUCGGCCGAGGCGGCGACCGCUGGGGCGCCGCCGCGAUGCCGGCGGAGGACGAGGCGGUAGAGCAGUCGCCCACGGCGCCGCCCAUCUCCUCCUGCGGCCGCUACAUCCUGCACCGCGUCUGCCGCUUCGACACGCUCGCCGGCGUCGCCAUCAAGUACGGCGUCGAGGUGGCUGACGUGAAGCGGGUGAACGGCCUCACCGCCGACCUGCAGAUGUUCGCGCACAAGACGCUGCGGAUCCCGCUCCCCGGCCGCCACCCGCCCGCCCAACAUUCCCCUCCCUCCUCCUCCCCGGCCGCCGCCGCCGCCGCAAGGGAAUGGACUACGCGCCGGCCUCCCAAAAAUGCUGCCUUGGACCCGUUCCAGAAACCGCCGCGCAGCACGGUUUCGCCCUCCAUGAGCCUCUUGCAGGGAUACUACGGACUCGCGCCACCUCCCAAGCGGGACCUGACAGACGAAGGCACCGAAAUGGCGACGUCUGUCAAAGGCCAGCAUAGGAAAGCGAGAAGCAUAUCGACCGGCUUCCCUGGUGUAAACGGGGAUGCCGGCUGGGACACGGAUGAUGCUGAAAAGCAAAUAAGGCGGCGCCAGAAAGCCGAUCUCGAGCUGACAACGAUGAGGGAGGACAAUGGCGGUGCCCUGUUGCCGAGGACCGGGGAAGGCUUGGCGCUGAGGCCAAAGUCGGGAAGUCGGCCAGACAUGAAUAACAGCCAGCAGGAUCUCAUCGCGGCAGGGUUCGUGCCUUCGUAUGGCGAUGGGCUGCUCGCCGUCAGGAAAUCGUCCAGCACCCCUGAGUUCCAGGACUCAGACAACAACAUUGCCUCGGUGUGGCUGAGCAAGUGGAACCUGAAACCAGACGCCUUCGCGGUGCCUCUCCCGAUCCUGCUCCUGGACAGUCUUCCGAAGCCGCUCUUCGACAGUCUUCCGAAGCCCAUUGCUGCAUGGAGGAACAAGGCAGCCCGGGAUUAA